GACAUGGAUACGUCCUGAGGAUACAGCAACACCUGCUGCUCUCUCUAACAACUUCUCCUUCUCCCACACCCCUCGACAUACUGGUAGGGGUGGGGGAACAGGUCAGCUGACAAGCUUUCUUGAGGAAUUGGAUGUCCUGCUGUCCUCCUUGCCAGAGGAUGGCAGGCCACUUGUGGUUCUUGGUGAUUUCAACAUACACCAGGACAAACCCCAGGCCAUUGAACUGAAUACUCUUCUGGCCUCAUUUGACUUGGAAAGACUACACACCACAGCAACUCACAGGUCGGGCAACCAGCUGGACCUCAUUUUUACACACCAGCACGGACUACACCACCCAGCCCCUGGCUGUCUGACGUCCUUCGUGAACAUCGGACUGAUCUCAGGGCAGCUGAGAGGAGAUGGCGGAAAUCUAAAGAUCCAGCUGAUCUAGGUAAAUAUCAGCUUCUGCUCGCAACUUUUUCAAAUAACGCUAAAACUGCAAAAACUUCAUAUUACCAGACCAAGAUCAACAGCACCACAGACACUCGUAGCUUGUUUAGAACAUUUAACACACUUCUCUGCCCUCCCCCUCCACCACCUGACACAUCACUGACAGCAGAUAUAUUCGCCACAUUUUUUACUGAUAAGGUUACAGCCAUCAGCAAUACAUUCACUGCACCACACCCUGUCAAACACCUGGCUCCUGUAUGCAACCCUUCUUUCCCUAUGUUCUCUCCUUUAACUGACACUGAGGUCUCUAAACUCCUCCUCUCCAACCAACCCACAACCUGUUCCCUUGACCCCAUUCCAUCACACCUUCUCCAGGCCAUCUCUCCGUCCAUCCUACCUGCACUUACACACAUAAUUAACACAUCCCUUCUUGCAGGCACUUUUCCCACUACAUUUAAGCAGGCUCGAGUAACCCCACUGCUGAAAAAACCUGCACUUAACCCCACACAGAUAGAACACUACAGACCAGUCUCUCUCAUCCCAUUCAUGGCAAAAACACUUGAAAGGGCAGUUUUCAAUCAGAUCUCCGCCUAUCUCUCACAGAACAAGCUGCUGGAUGACAAUCAGUCGGGCUUCAAAAGUGGACACUCCACUGAGACUGCCCUGCUGUCUGUCAUCGAGUCGCUGAGACAGGCGAGAGCUGAAUCGAGAUCGUCCGUUCUGAUUUUGCUGGACCUUUCUGCUGCCUUUGACACAGUCAACCAUCAGAUCCUACUCUCCACCCUCUCUAAACUGGGUAUCACUGGAACUGUGCUUGACUGGUUCAACUCUUAUCUCUCAGAAAGGUCCUUUGAGGUAGCAUGGAGAGGGGAAGUAUCCAAGCCACACAAGUUACUUACUGGGGUACCUCAGGGAUCAGUGCUUGGGCCA